CACGUAGGGUGCGAGCGUUGUCCGGAAUUAUUGGGCGUAAAGAGCGUGUAGGCGGCCAGGUAGGUCUGCUGUGAAAACUCGAGGCUCAACCUCGAGACGUCGGCGGAAACCAUCUGGCUAGAGUCCGGAAGAGGAGAGUGGAAUUCCUGGUGUAGCGGUGAAAUGCGCAGAUAUCAGGAAGAACACCCGUGGCGAAGGCGGCUCUCUGGGACGGUACUGACGCUGAGACGCGAAAGCGUGGGGAGCGAACAGG
rnacentral:rRNA from 1 species